rnacentral:tRNA from 1 species
GCGGGCAUGGCGGAACUGGUAGACGCAAGGGACUUAAAAUCCCUCGGCCCUAGGCUGUCCGGGUUCGAGUCCCGGUGCCCGCACCA